rnacentral:rRNA from 1 species
UACAGAGGUCCCAAGCGUUGUUCGGAUUUACUGGGCGUAAAGCGCACGUAGGCGGCUUUGUAAGUUAGAGGUGAAAGCCCGGGGCUCAACUCCGGAAUUGCCUUUAAGACUGCAUCGCUAGAAUUGUGGAGAGGUAAGUGGAAUUCCGAGUGUAGAGGUGAAAUUCGUAGAUAUUCGGAAGAACACCAGUGGCGAAGGCGACUUACUGGACACAUAUUGACGCUGAGGUGCGAAAGCGUGGGGAGCAAACAGG